UCUCUACAGGAGCUUCUGACUCCAAACAUGUCGGCCAAACUCCUCCUUCCAUCAUUAAGAAAACUGGGGAAUCUGUGGACAAAGAGAUCAGAUGUUCCCACAGCAUCCCGAACCACGACGUGAUUCUGUGGUACAAACAAGACGAGAACAGAACCCUGCAGCUCCUAGGAUAUCUGAAUCUCAACUUUGUCACUGUUGAACGAGAUGUGAAGAAAACAAUCAGCUUUGAAGGAGACGGGCGCACGCACUCCGACCUCACUGUGUCUGAUCUGACAGCAGACGACAGCGCAGUGUAUUUCUGUGCUGCCAGAUACGCACAGUGCUGCAGCUUUACUGAAAGUCAAUGCAAAAAACCCCAUCAGUCACCAACAGAACACCUGCAGCCUGAUUCUCUCACCAGUUUCCUCCUGUGGUCAGACUGGGAUACGACAAACUGCUUUGGGAGGUUAAUCAGAUGCAAACCUAAAUGCUAUUUUUUUUGGUCCCCAUUUAAAAAAAAAAAAAGAUGCAGAAAACACUUCAAUUAAAUUCAUGCUUGAGUGGAAAAGGUUCUUCUUGUCCAGUGUGAAGCUGUGGGUCAGUUUCUCUGAGAACGACAUGAGAGUCCACAACUCAGCGAGGGGCUUUGAAACGCCAGAAAGAUUUGAAAUAAGAAUAGAAAAUGAGUCAAAUUCAAUUCAGUUCAUUUAUGUAGUGCCAAUUCAAAACAAUGUUUUUCCAGAGGCACCAACCAGUUUGUCCACAUCUGUAGUUUUAAGUAUCAAUAAAAAAAACAAAAACAUGCAACCUCCCUGUAUGAAUACACAGUUUGAAAAUGUAGCUGUAAUUAUGAACUUUCAUUUUAAUAAAGUUCUGAAUCAAGAAGAUAUUCAGUUCACAUGGACACCAAACUUCAAACUUUCAUACAUUAUUUUGUCACCUUCCUAAAAUAAUGGGAUAAGUUUUUUUUGUUUGUUUUUUUUGGCAAAAAAAAAAAAUCACCUUUUUAUCGUUAGAAAUAUGAAUUAGGCAAAAUAAAUGAAUAAAUAAAUAAAUAAAAAUCUAAAUUUUAACAUGUCACUUGUUACUCAGUUAACACUACAAAAAAGGAGUAAACACACACAUUAAACCCAGAAAUUAAUAAAUGAUACUGAGUCUCUCGCUGAGGGAAAACCUUUCAUAAAAUUUGAAACAUUUUCUGUGGUAAAUAUUUUUUCUGAAUCCUUUAAUAUUAAUAUUUCGGCAAACUCUUAGGUGUCUGCAGGAAAUGCAGGAAUGGGGCGGAUCUCCUUUCCAUCCUCUAGAUGAGUUUUGGACUGAAGGUCUGAACCUCCUCCUUCCUGCAGGUUUUAUAUCUCUGCUGCUCAGACUGAUGGACUUUAUGAAAGAUGAAUAAACUCUUCAGAAAACAAGUUAUCCUGCAAUUUCUGGCAUCUUUCCUGUGGAUUUCAGGUUUUGCUGGUGGGAGUGAUGUCACCCAGCCCUCCGUUUUAUGGAAGAAUAAAAGUGAAGACGCGACAAUCGACUGCAGCCACAAAAAGGGCGAGUUGUACUUCCAGAUGUACUGGUUCAGGCAGCUGCCGGGGAAAACGAUGGAGCUCGUCGUCUUCACCACGACGGGCAGCAGCAAGCACGACUUUGGGAGCUUCAGCCAGGAGAAAUUUUCAGCCACCAAAGCGAAGGCUGAGAGCGGAGCGCUGACGGUGAAGAGCCUGGAGCCGGCAGAUGAAGGCCUGUACUUCUGCGCCGUGGGUUCAGCACAGCGGUGCAGACGGCAGGAAGGCUGAACAAAAACCCACACAGCCAACAGCAGCUUACUGUGUUUGGACAGCAGGGGGAGACAAAGCACUGUGUGCUCGUUCUACUCCGUACACACAUACAAAAACAAAAUAAAAAAUAAAAAUGAAGACAGCCUUUAAAACC